CAGCUCUCCGAGUGGUAGGGAUGAUUAUUGGGCUUAAAGCGUCCGUAGCCGGCUUAGCAAGGUUCCUGCUAAAUUCAGCGACCUAAUCGUUGAGCCGCGGGAAAUACUACUAGGCUAGGAGGCGGGAGAGGUCGACGGUACUUCUGGGGUAGGGGUGAAAUCCUAUAAUCCCGGGAGGACCACCAGUGGCGAAGGCUGUCGACUAGAACGCGCUCGACGGUGAGGGACGAAAGCUGGGGGAGCGAACCGGAUUAGAUACCCGAGUAGUCC
rnacentral:rRNA from 1 species